CGCGGGGCGAGCGCGCUGCGCUUGUAGGAGGAGGACACGGUGCUGGGCGAGCCACGGGACCAGGACUGCGAGCGGAAGCCGCUGGACGGGGACCCGCUCACGCGGCUGAAACUGGAGCGGGUUUCGGUGACCCGCCGAAAAAGCAAUCGAGUACUGAGGCACAAAGAAGGUCAAGUACACACACGUCUGGAAGGUGGUGAAGGUAGAAAUCGAGAAGUCUGACGCUGAAAGCAGAUCCUCACCAAGGUCAUCAGGAGGUCAUUGGAUCCAAUUCUAAAAAUAACUUCAAAUUUUAAAGAUCUCUUAUUUUCGCCUAACUGUCAUGACAUGUUAAAAAUACCCAAGACAUAGCAUACAUAUAUUGCUUUCCCGUUUCUGCAAUUUAUAUAAAAGACUUCGUUUUCUCGGAUGAGUAUUUCUGCUUUAUAUGCGACAUUAUUAAAGACAUUAAAACAAAC